rnacentral:rRNA from 1 species
AUGACCGUGACGUUGCAGGAUAUUGCUAUGAUCACCGGUCUUCCUAACGAUGGCAAUCCUUUAUGUAUGAACACCGAUUCAGAUGGGUGGCGCGCGCAGAUGCAUGCCCUUAUUGGUAUGGUUCCUCCGGAGCCUCGGGAACCAGAAGCAGAAGAUAAGAAGAAGGAAAGAGUCGCAGCGGGCGCUACUUUCACGUGGAUAUCAUCGAACUUCAGUCAUUGCCCUGAGGAUGCUAAUGAGGACAUGGUGAAGACAUAUGCUCGUGUCUACAUGUGGUACGUGAUAUCCAGGACAAUGUUUGCUGAUGGCACAGGCAAGAAUGCUCCAUGGAUGUGGCUGAAGGCGUUGACCGUCUUCGAUAGCAAAUGGAGUUGGGGUUCGGCGACACUGGCUUACUUGUAUCGACAGGUAUGA